UGUUUCCGUGUGUCUCCCAGAACAGCCUAUAAUUUUAGUGGGAAUAUUUCCUCAGUUUAUUCAAUUCCGUAUAGUUGUGUUAUUUGGGUUAGCGGAAGGUUGUUACACAAGGUCACAGUUGUCACACGAGGUCAUGGUUGGUACACGAGGUUAUGGUUGUCACACAAGGUGAGUAGUUGUCACACAAGGUGAGUAGUUGUCACACAAGGUAUGCAGUUGUCACACAAGGUGAGUAGUUGUCACACAAGGUGAGUAGUUGUCACACAAGGUAUGCAGUUGUCACACAAGGUAAGCAGUUGUCACACAAGGUAAGCAGUUGUCACACAAGGUAAGCAGUUGUCACACAAGGUAAGCAGUUGUUACACAAGGUAAGCAGUU